rnacentral:sRNA from 1 species
UGUUAUCUUAAUGAUCCCAUCGCCUGUAAGGAUCACCUCCGGGUGGCGAAAUCAAAGCUCCUGUAGCCUGCAAGGGAGUGCAUCACAAUGCGGUACAUCUGCGCACUUUUGGAAGCAGAUAUCAUUGGACACAUAACCC